rnacentral:rRNA from 1 species
UACGAAGGGGGCUAGCGUUGUUCGGAAUCACUGGGCGUAAAGGGCGCGUAGGCGGCUUUUCAAGUCGGGGGUGAAAGCCUGUGGCUCAACCACAGAAUUGCCUUCGAUACUGUUAGGCUUGAGACCGGAAGAGGUGAGUGGAACUGCGAGUGUAGAGGUGAAAUUCGUAGAUAUUCGCAAGAACACCAGUGGCGAAGGCGGCUCACUGGCCCGGUACUGACGCUGAGGUGCGAAAGCGUGGGGAGCAAACAGG